AAACUUAAAGGAAUUGACGGGUCCCGCACAAGCAGCGGAGCGUGUGGUUUAAUUCGUUGCUACACGAAGAACCUUACCUGGGUUUGACAUAGCAGUGGUAGGGAAGAGAAAUCGGACCGACCUUCGGGGAGCUGUUACAGGUGUUGCAUGGCUGUCGUCAGCUCGUAUCGUGAGAUGUUCGGUUAAGUCCGCUAACGAGCGCAACCCGCGUUGUGUGUUAUAUGUGUCACACAAUACCGCCGGUAUUAAGCCGGAGGAAGGUGCGGAUGACGUCAAGUCAGCAUGACCUUUAUAUCCAGGGCUACACACACGCUACAAUGGACAGUACAACAGGUUGCCAAGCCGCGAGGCGGAGCCAAUCCUCUAAAGCUGUCCUCAGUUCAGAUUGCAGGCUGCAACUCGCCUGCAUGAAGUUGGAGUUGCUAGUAACCGCAGGUCAGCUAUACUGCGGUGAAUACGUUCCCGGGGAUU
rnacentral:rRNA from 1 species